rnacentral:rRNA from 1 species
ACACAUGCAGUCGAGCGGUAGAGAGAAGCUUGCUUCUCUUGAGAGCGGCGGACGGGUGAGUAAUGCCUAGGAAUCUGCCUGGUAGUGGGGGAUAACGUUCGGAAACGGACGCUAAUACCGCAUACGUCCUACGGGAGAAAGCAGGGGACCUUCGGGCCUUGCACUAUCAGAUGAGCCUAGGUCGGAUUAGCUAGUUGGUGAGGUAAUGGCUCACCAAGGCGACGAUCCGUAACUGGUCUGAGAGGAUGAUCAGUCACACUGGAACUGAGACACGGUCCAGACUCCUACGGGAGGCAGCAGUGGGGAAUAUUGGACAAUGGGCGAAAGCCUGAUCCAGCCAUGCCGCGUGUGUGAAGAAGGUCUUCGGACUGUAAAGCACUUUAAGUUGGGAGGAAGGGCAGUUACCUAAUACGUGAUUGUUUUGACGUUACCGACAGAAUAAGCACCGGCUAACUCUGUGCCAGCAGCCGCGGUAAUACAGAGGGUGCAAGCGUUAAUCGGAAUUACUGGGCGUAAAGCGCGCGUAGGUGGUUUGUUAAGUUGGAUGUGAAAUCCCCGGGCUCAACCUGGGAACUGCAUUCAAAACUGACUGACUAGAGUAUGGUAGAGGGUGGUGGAAUUUCCUGUGUAGCGGUGAAAUGCGUAGAUAUAGGAAGGAACACCAGUGGCGAAAGCGACCACCUGGACUGAUACUGACACUGAUGUGCGAAAGCGUGGGGAGCAAACAGGA